rnacentral:rRNA from 1 species
AUGGAGGCAGCAGUGGGGAAUUUUGGACAAUGGGGGCAACCCUGAUCCAGCCAUGCCGCGUGAGUGAAGAAGGCCUUCGGGUUGUAAAGCUCUUUCGGACAGAAAGAAAUCCUAUCCAUUAAUACUGGGUGGGGAUGACGGUACUGUAAGAAGAAGCACCGGCUAACUACGUGCCAGCAGCCGCGGUAAUACGUAGGGUGCGAGCGUUAAUCGGAAUUACUGGGCGUAAAGCGUGCGCAGGCGGUUUAUUAAGACAGAUGUGAAAUCCCCGGGCUUAACCUGGGAACUGCAUUUGUGACUGGUAGGCUAGAGUGUAGCAGAGGGGGGUAGAAUUCCACGUGUAGCAGUGAAAUGCGUAGAUAUGUGGAGGAAUACCGAUGGCGAAGGCAGCCCCCUGGGUUAACACUGACGCUCAUGCACGAAAGCGUGGGGAGCAAACAGGAUUAGAUACCCGUGUAGUCC